rnacentral:rRNA from 1 species
UGCAUCGGAACGUACCCCGUCGUGGGGGAUAACUACGCGAAAGCGUAGCUAAUACCGCAUACGACCUGAGGGUGAAAGCAGGGGAUCUUCGGACCUUGUGCGAUGGGAGCGGCCGAUGUCAGAUUAGCUAGUUGGUGGGGUAAGAGCCUACCAAGGCGACGAUCUGUAGCGGGUCUGAGAGGAUGAUCCGCCACACUGGGACUGAGACACGGCCCAGACUCCUACGGGAGGCAGCAGUGGGAAUUUUGGACAAUGGGGGCAACCCUGAUCCAGCCAUGCCGCGUGCGGGAAGAAGGCCUUCGGGUUGUAAACCGCUUUCAGCCGGAAAGAAAUCGCGCAGGCCAAUACCCUGUGUGGAUGACGGUACCGGAAGAAGAAGCACCGGCUAACUACGUG